ensembl:lncRNA FLJ42969 uncharacterized LOC441374
ACUCCAGCUCACAGCCCCUCCAACUGGAUGGAGCUCUUCGAAGGGAGGGGCAUUUCAGAGGAGGGUCUCAGGGAUAGCCCCUUUGUGGGGCUGGGCCACCAGGUUGGGGAGAGUGGAGCUGCUGGAACUCUGGAGGGACUGGCUGAGCCAGCUUUCCCAGUGCACCCCUCUGGGAGGGCAGGCUCUCGGUGUAGGCUGCCCAUCUCCUCGCUCUCCUCUGGCACUGCUCCUAUGCCCCCUUGGUUAGCCUGGGAGCCCAUACUACCCAGACUUGGGGUCAAUAAGCAGAGGACCUGUAAGGAGUCCUUGAUGGGAUGUACAGCACUGCCCAACCCUGCACAAGGUAGGGUAUUGCUGUUUGUUGUGUGGUGAGCUGCCUGCUUAUGGCUGGGUUUGGGCCUCCAUCCAUUUUUAUUUUCUUUGAGUUGGUCUCUGGGCAAAGCUUCUCCCAGCAGGCGGAAUCUGGCCUGGGGGCUCCAGCUUCUCUCACCUGCCUGGCCUCCCAAGAGCUAGAGAGCUCCACAUCUCAACUCAUCUAUAACUCAUUAGCAGAACCAUCAGCUAGCAGAAACUAGGAAUAAUAAAAAUGUGCCGUAUUUUCACAAGCUGGAUGCCAGGCUUGGUGGUCAGGACACAGACUGCUUUCAGCUCCCACAUGCCCCUCCUGCUAGCUGCUUUGUGCAGAGUAGUGGCUACAUGGCUGCAGGUGAGAGCCCUGCCUGUGAACAGGCCACCAGGAUGCUGGGACAUACGAGUUGAUAACCCAUGGGCUCCUGAGAGCAGAGAUUGUGACUUACUCAUCUUUGAUGUAGCCAAGUUCUAACAAACCUAAAUGUGCAGUGUUUGACUACCUGAGAGCUGUCUAGAUUGAGCUGAAGGAAUUCAGAAAAGGGCAGUAUGAAUUCUUCAGCGUGGAGGCCGACUUUGUGGAGAGGAGGCAGGGCCUAUGUCGAUGCUGCUCGCUCUAUUUUCAGGGCUUGGCACCAUUCAUCCUCAAAAAGGCUACGGGUCCUCACUCAGAAUUAAAGAGGCUGUUCUGCAAAGCUGCCAUUCAUAGGGAGAACUGGCGAUGAAGUGUCUGUCAAAAGGACUGUUUUUACAAUUGGGACCUGCCUGUAGUGGUGAUGAGCCAUUUGUAAGAGAGGAUCAUGGAAUGAAUACGGGCAUUGAGUCAAGCAGUCUGUGUUCCACUGGCGGUGUGACCUGGGGCAGGCCAUUUCACCUCACUGAGCCUUAGUUUCCUCACCUGUAAAAUGUGAAAAAUAUCACCUUCCUUACCAGGCUUUUCUGAGGAUUUAAUGACAUCAUGUUCAGUGCCCAGUAUGGGUGGAUAAUACCCAGGAGUUUCCUCCUCUUCUCCUCCUAAGUUGACUUGAUGCCCCCCGCUGAAGAUCAUGGCUGAACUGGCUCAAUUCGGAUCCAGGACUCCUGGCUUUGUCUCUUCCCUAGUUGCCCACCACACCCAUGGACACCCUUAGGUAGUUUAUCCUUUUGGGACAACUGGAUUUAUUAGAAAAGGGUAUUCUGGGGUGGAAUAAGGCCCUUUUCAGUCCCCAUGGAGCCUUUUUGGAAGAUGAAGUUCUCAAACCCACAAGAGAAUUCAUAAGACGAGCACACCACCCACAGUUAGGUUUCCCUCUCAAGUGCUUUAUCUCCACGUGGGGCAAAUAGCUCUUUGUCUGCAUAUGUUAUUGGAGCUUUUGGAGUCCAGCCUUCAGAAGAGCUCUAAUUUUUGGAUUCAUAUCAGUUUAUUAGAGAAGCCUAGUUCUAAGGAUUAGCAAAUGGGUAGGUGCUCAGCCAGCCCAGAACAAGCAGAGCCAUGACAGAAGUUUCUGGAAUCUCACAGAGUCGGUGUCUUCAUGGACUCAGGGGGCCUAAAUCCAAUAGCCUGGAUUUGUCACUUUCCCUUAUUCCCUUAUCAAACUCUUCCCUUUUGGACAUCAGAGAAGGAAAGUACUUCCUGUAAGGGGGCAAUUUGCAAAGCUUCAUGGAAGUGGCAUUUGAGUGUGGCCUUAAAGGAUGUGUAGGAUUGGGAACCAUAGAUAUUUAGAGGAAGGCAUUCCUGGCAGAAGGAACAGCAGCAAAACACAGAAGUGGAAAUUAGUAGCAGCAUUAAUGGAGAAUAAUUUGGGGAAUAAGAUAUACAAAUGGAAUAAUAAAAAUAGCAUUAAUUAAACAUUGUGGGAGUCAUUCUGUAAGAUGGCCCCUGGUGAUCUCCGCCUCCUGUUCUUCAUGCCUUAUGUAACCGCUCUCCUUGAGUGUGGUCUGGAAUUACUGACUCACUUUCAAUGCACAGAAUGUAUCAGAAGUAAUGGGAUAUUCCUUCUGAGAAUAGAUUAUAAAAAAAGAGUGUGGCUUCCUUCCUGGC